ensembl:lncRNA
AGGGAAUUGUUUUUGUUCAGCACCAGUCUUGGACCCGCAGCUGGCGCCGUGGUGUCCAUAUGUUGAUGUCGUUGAUUUUUCUUCUCUGCGAGCAGCUCAGGAGAAUUUCAAAGCUGUUCUUUAACAGUCCGACACUGGUCUCUCAAUCUCCCGUUGGAUAGCCGCGAGCCUCCCCACGAUGGUAUCAAACUUCUGUUCCGUGGUGUUGGUGAGACCCCACAACUGCGGUGAUCCGUUCUGCGAUGUGAUCCAACUUUCGCUCAAGGGUCUCAUUUUGAGCAGGCCUCUCUCUGAUGUAUCCCGCUGCCAAUUUUAUUUUUUUGACGGUGCAAAAUGUUUCGUCAACAUCGUCGACAUACAGCACUGCACUUCAGAGUCACACUGCUAGCGAUCGAUGCAGCGAUUCUGUACUGUAGCAGGAGACGGCACGGAGGAGAUCGUUUGCAGCGAUCAGGACACAAUGUGAUGUAAAAAAAAAUGCAAACUUGCACUAAAAAAAUCUGUGAAACAGCGAGGUGAAAGGUGAACUGCGUUAUAGCGAGGGACCUCUGUAAUUUUGAAGGUGUUUUCAACCGCUGCUGCCACGCUGACGGCGUAUGCGGCCAAACGGAAGAAGACAGUCUAUAUUCUUAGCAGCAUGCACAGCGUGGUUCAGACUGAUAACACUACCAAAAGGAAGCCAAACACUGUCACCCUUUACAACAAAACAAAGUGUGGCGUGGAUGUGAUGGACCAGAUGGUUCGGGAGUACACUGUCCGCAGAGGAACACGGCGCUGGCCAGUUGCCGUGUUUUAUAACAUGAUUGACAUGGCAGCACUGAAUGCACAUGUGCUGUAUCAAGCAUGCACCGGGAUGAAGGAAAGACAGGUGGACUUCCUGGUGGAGCUUGCAAGAGAGUUGGCUCACUCUCAUGUAGCUGCGAAGAAGGCAAGAAAAGAUAAGAUAAGAUAAGAUAAGAUAGAACUUUAUUAAUCCCUCGGGUGGGUUCCUCUGGGAAAUUCGACUUCCAAAAAGCACAGCAACGACCGAAGUUACAGUUACAGAAUUGUUAUAUAUAUAUAUAUAUAUAUAUAUAUAUACACACACACACACACACACACACACACACACACACACAUAUAAAUACAGAGACAAAUAUAAAUAAAAUAUACAAAGGGGAUAAAUAGAAUAAAUAGGAAUAAAAAAUAAAAAUACAAGUGAAUUGCACAUUUCAAGUAUUGAGUCUAUUGCACUGUUGACUAUUUACAAAAAGUAUUGCACAAGGUAUUGUACAGUGAGGUGAAGAGGCACUACAGCUUAGUUGUUCCCCCCCUCCUUUGUCCUCCUGUUUCCCCUCCCUCUCCCCUCCGGAGAGGAGUUAAACAGUUUGAUGGCGUGUGGGACAAAGGAGUUUUUAAGUCUGUUAGUUCUUGUCUUGGG